rnacentral:rRNA from 1 species
GAUGAACGCUGGCGGCGUGCCUAAUACAUGCAAGUCGAGCGAACAGACGAGGAGCUUGCUCCUCUGACGUUAGCGGCGGACGGGUGAGUAACACGUGGAUAACCUACCUAUAAGACUGGGAUAACUUCGGGAAACCGGAGCUAAUACCGGAUAAUAUAUUGAACCGCAUGGUUCAAUAGUGAAAGACGGCUUUGCUGUCACUUCUAGAUGGAUCCGCGCCGCAUUAGCUAGUUGGUAGGGUAACGGCUUACCACGGCAACGAUGCGUAGCCGACCUGAGAGAGUGAUCGGCCACACUGGAACGUAGACACGGUCCAGACUCCUACGGGAGGCAGCAGUAGGGAAUCUGCCGCAAUGGGCGAAAGCCUGACGGAGCAACGCCGCGUGAGUGAUGAAGGUCUUCGGAUCGUAAAACUCUGUUAUUAGGGAAGAACAAAUGUGUAAGUAACUAUGCACGGCUUGACGGUACCUAAUCAGAAAGCCACGGCUAACUACGUG